rnacentral:rRNA from 1 species
CGACCCCAGGAUGGGCGG